UUUUUAGAUACAUUUUUUGUAAAAGUGAGUUGAAUAAAAAAAAUUGGGUGUAAAAAUUAAUUUUAGAAUCAAAAAUUUUAAUUUACAACUUCAAGCUAGAAUCAAUUAGUCAACUUUAAAACAACCAAAUAUGUCAGAAUUAAUUCUAUACCUCUAAAAUCAAUUUUGUCCCCUCAAAAAGCUAAACCAAACAUACAUUAAAACUUAGAGAAGAUUGAUGACUCCACAUACAACACUUAUUCCAUGAAAGGAAAUAUUUUUCAUGUAAGUAUUUAUUCCCGUUAAUCCAUAAAAACAAAUUCAACAGAAGAGCACAUAAAAGACUAAUUGGAUGAUAAAAACCAAUAGAAUUGAGAGAGAGAAAACACUUUUUAUU
rnacentral:lncRNA from 1 species